CAGAAUCUUUCCUGGUAUUGGGGUCAGACUGAUAGGUCUGUGAUUUCCUGGAUCUAUUUUUCCCCUUUUUUGAAGAUGGGAACUACAUCAGCUCUUUUUCAGUCUUCUGGCAGUUCUCCAGUGCUCCAGGAUCUUUAAAAGAUAUAGUUCAAUGGUUCCGAGAUCUCAUCUGCCAGUUCCUUCAGAACCUUGGGGUGUAAUCCAUCCGGUCCUGGAGAUUUGAACUCAUCUAGGGUAGACAGACAAAGAGAAUGCUAAGAAGAGCACUGUGGACAAGAGAAUGAGAAACUGCUUUAAAAUGUAAAACAAGCCAUCAAUCAAAAUCUUCCACUUCCUCCAGAGAGUGUAAAAACUUUUCUCUUUCUUCAGCUGAUGAGAGACAAGAGAGAAUUAUAAGAGCAGAGCUUUCAGCUGGAAAAAAAUAAGAGUGUCUAGAAGUCAAGGAAACAUUACAUGAGAAGUCAAGGAGGAUAAUUUCUCAGUAAACAUUGGAAGCCAGUGGGAAGAAAAAGAUUUCGGGGGUAGCCAAAACUGGAAGGCAUUAAUUAAAGCCUUUGAGAAAACAAAAAGUAGCUUGAAUCAAAGAACCAUCAGCUAAGAGAUCAGAAAUAUUGUUGGCCUCCUCAAGAAUCCAAUAAUAUCAGUGUUGGAAAAUCCCUGCAGACUGCCUAGUUUUGGAAAAACACAGAUUCAGAUCACAUCUGAUUGAUGCAUAAAUUGAACUACCCCAUGAAAAUCCA